GUGAAAAUCCUCAAAGCCCUUUUCCUCGCUCGCUUUGAACGAGGGAGAAGGCUUUGGACUUGGAGGUUCAAUGCUUGCCCUUUGCCUUCUGAAGGCAAGCUCCUCUCAAAUACAUCAGUGGGGGUCCGCAUUCGGCCGGUCCAUGACGUGAUAAGACCCUUUUACGUUUUGGGCUUGACCGUGGCUCUUUGGACGCCUGCUUCUAACCGUCUCAUGGACAAUAUGAUGGUGCUCCGGUCACCUGCCAUUCGUUGGUUGGGGAGGCCGGACCCACGACACACACUCUUGACCUCAAAUCGGGCGAGACUACCCGCUGAACUUAAGCAUAUCAAUAAGCGGAGGA
rnacentral:rRNA from 1 species